CACCGGCGGCUCGAGUGGUGGCCACUUUUAUUGGGUCUAAAGCGUCCGUAGCCGGCUUGGCAAGUCCCCUGGGAAAUCUGGCGGCCUAACCGUCAGGCGUCCAGAGGAUACUGCCAGGCUUGGGACCGGGAGAGGUGAGAGGUACCUCAGGGGUAGGGGUGAAAUCUUGUGAUCCCUGAGGGACCACCAGUGGCGAAGGCGUCUCACUAGAACGGGUCCGACGGUCAGGGACGAAAGCUGGGGGCACGAACCGG
rnacentral:rRNA from 1 species